UGAUGAUUCACGUCACAUGGGAUUUUCCAACCUUUUUCAAGAGGACUGUGACAUUGACUUUGAGAACGUGUUCAUGUAAAAUUUUCUCCCUUGGGCAUACAGAGAAAAUCACGCGAGUUAUUCAAUUUGAAACCCAUGAAAUAUAGCUCGAUAUGCUGCUUGGUAAUGCACAACAAUAAAACGCAGAAGGCGAAGUUAUGACCGUUGGCUCUGCAGCUUUCGCUGAAGCGGAUGGCAACUAAAUUGGAUUAAAUUAUAUCUACAAAACAACAAUCGAUGAAUCGCUAGUUGGUUGAGAGGACCGUUCUUUCGGGUCAAUAG